rnacentral:rRNA from 1 species
UACGUAGGGUGCAAGCGUUAAUCGGAAUUACUGGGCGUAAAGCGUGCGCAGGCGGUCUCUUAAGACAGGUGUGAAAUCCCCGGGCUUAACCUGGGAACUGCGCUUGUAACUGAGAGGCUAGAGUGUGGCAGAGGGGGGUGGAAUUCCACGUGUAGCAGUGAAAUGCGUAGAUAUCGGGAGGAACACCAAAGGCGAAGGCGCUCUGCUGGGCCAGCACUGACACUGAGAGACGAAAGCGAGGGGAGCAAAUGGG